CUGGAGGAAGUGUGUUACUGUGGAGGUGGACCUUGAGGUCUCAUACUCAAGCCUCCACCAAUGAGACAGACCACUUCCUGUUGCAUGUGAGUCAAGAUGGAAGACCUCUUAGCUCCUUCUCCAGCACUGCCUCUGCCUGCAUUCUGCCUUGCUUCCUGCCAUGAUGAGAAUGGACUAAACCUCUGAACAAACAAACCGAGUACGUCUUUGGCUGUCAUCCUUUAACACAGAGGUCAAUAUUUUCAGUUUUCACCUUUGCAAGCCUUGGGCAUAUGAAGCCCAGGAGUCUGGCUUGGUUUUCCUUCACAGCCCUCAAUCUCAGAAGCCAAGGGACUGGAGUGAUAGCUCAGCUGGCCUGAAAAGCAUGAGACCUGAAUUCGAUCCUCUGGAUUUCCUGUAAAGAUGCCAAGCUUGAUGGUGACUGUUGCUGUCAGCUUUGGUGGUAAAGGAAAACUGCCUGUUUGCACUUACUGCAGAGACUUUGUAAGUCUUCAAUCUCUGAGAACAACUGUCCUUAUUGUGACAUGGUAGCUCAAAGCUCAGCCAUAAAUGGGAGGAGACACUCCUAUAUCUGUAUAAACCCCUCCAAGGAUUGUGGAGCAAAGAGGAAGGAGGAAGGGGGUGUAAAGAAUGAGGGAGAGUGUUGUCUAUAUUUCUCAGAGUUGAAGCACUCUCUCCUGGAGGUGGGACAGAGACUCCUGGAAGCUAAGGAAGCUUACAAGGCUCAGCAAGCUCAUAGAAGCUGCUAGUGUCACAAGGCCCCUCCCUAAGGGUAUAAAAAGCAAUGCAUAACUGCUAAGGAGAGACCUUUGGCUGAACUGCCAAUAGGUUGGGAAGGGAACUCCAGAGAUGCAGCUUUUGGGUGUCAUCACCCAUACUGGGGUGGGCCUUUUAGUGAUGUAGCUGCUUUUGAGUCCACCCCUCCCCUGUGUUCCUGUAAGUAACCCCAAUAAACUUACUGAUUCAACAAGCUAGACUUGGCAGGGGUAAAGGAUCCUUUCUGUGGUCUGUGUCCUCUCUGGACUGAACAAACAUUUGUUCAUACUGUUUCAGGAAAAGUCACACUACAAGCUAAUCUUAAUAAAUCAAAAACCUUAAAAUUAGUCAGGCAGUGGUGGCAUACUCCUUUAAUUCCAGCACUUGGGAGGCAGAAUCAGGAGGAUCUCUGUGAGUUCAAGGCCAGUUUGCUCUACAAAGUGAGUUCCGGGACAGCCAGGGCUACACAGAGAAACCCUGUCUCUAAAAACUCAAAAAACAAAACAAAACAUAAAACCAAACAACAACAACAAAAACUUAAAAUUAAUAAAGAGGGGGCUAGGGAGAUGGCUCAGUGUUUAAGAGCACCAGCUGCUCUUUGAGAGGACCUGGGUUCAAUUCUUGGCACCCACAUGGCAACUCACCACUGUCUGUAACUUUAGCUCUAGGGGUUCCAACACCUUCACACAUGCAGGCAAAACACCAAGGCAGAUAAAAUAAAAAUAAAUAAAUCAUUUUUUAAAUUAAUAAAGAAAAUACCAACAAACCAAUAGUUCAUGGUUAUAUACAUGCACAUUGGAGGAAAAGAAAUAUAAUGAGCAAUUGGAGAGAUGGUUCAGUGGUGAAGCUCAUUGGCUGCUCUUCCAGAGGAUCCGGGAUCAAUUCCUAGCACCCCCAUGGAGGCUCACAACCAUCUAUAACUCUAUAGUUACAUGGGAUCUGACACUGUCUUCUGGCCUCCAUGGGCAAUGCACACAUAUGGUGCACAGACAUACAUGUAGGCAAAACACCCACACACAUACAUAUAAAAAACUUUGAUUUUUUUUUUAUUUUAUGUGUAUGUGUUUUGCCUGCAUGUGUGUCUGUGUACCACAUGCCUUCCUGGUGUUUGCAGAGAUCAGAAGAG
ensembl:lncRNA